UCCAGUCUGUACCGUGUCCUCUAUCACUUGACCCAGAGAGCCCAAGCGUCACCGCCAAAUACAACGAAAUUAUGGAACGAUCAACCACGGCUAAGUUGUGGAGAAGAAACACACACUAUGAAACCGUCUGAGGUUUUCUCCACUAUCGUUGCCUGAAAACUACCGAUGGACCAAAAACCUUCUCAAAAACUGCUCCAAAGAACAUUCUUGGACAGCCAUCAACCUGUUGCCAUUUCUAGAAAGAGUUUUAAGGUUUUGAAUUUGUUCCAAGCGAAUGAGAGAAUUUUCUCGCCAGCAAACUGUGUCUUGAAAUACCAAAAAAACACAAUUUUUUUUAUUUAUGGUUAUGCACUUACUUCGAGCGAAAAGAAGAUUAAGUUAUUAUUCAUAGAUGAAAUAUUCUGGGUUUGUGUACCUUUUGAAUCAGCCCAGAUACCGUAUCAGGGUGGGGUUGAAUUUAGCCACUGUUUGAAAAUCAUUUUCAGAAUGAUAUUUAUGCUACUUUUUUUUUUUUUGUAUGUAACUGAACUGACACACUUAUUGUGAAUAAAACUACAUGGCUAAAAUUCAUUCCA